UCAAAACUUUAUAAAAAUACAUGUCAACGACAUUUUUAUCGAGGUAAAUAAUGAAAUAAAACUUUAAACUAAAUGUUUAUACAGAAAAAAUAAAUAUAUCUCAGAAAAAAAUUCAACAUCAAUUAAUUAAAUUUAUUUAUGAAACACUUACUAUAAAAAUUAACGAUCAAUGAACUUGCACAAUAAUAAUAAUAAUUAAAUUAAAAAUACAAUUUUUAAAAAUAUCUUAAAGAAUACACAUUACUACACUUAUGGAUCACAGCCACAAGCAUUUAAAUUGAAGGGCGAAUACUAUAAAAAAAAAAGUUUAUUAACCUAAAAACUACUACUAUGAAAAGAUUUUGCUUUUUAUAGAGAUAUACAGAUACUACUUGAAAAAGAUGCAGUUUUUCUUUUUUAAGGGGGAGAUGUAUUUCUGCUGUUGUUGGUGGUGUUAUUUUAAACCUAGGACAACAUAGAGAAAGUUACAGGCUGUCGGGUUUUUAAAUGUACAACAACAGACAGACGGACAGAUGGACGGACGGACGCACGAAUGGAGGGACAGACAUUAAAACACAGAGAGCAAAGACCAGACCCUGCACCACCACUAAUACUUAAGCAUAAGAUAAUCAAUAUGAGGGGGAGGCAUAAAAUAUUGUUUUUAGACGAUUAUAUAGAGAAAUAUAUGCUCACACGUGUUGUGGCUUAUGUAUUUUUUGCCUACACUCUCUCACUUCCUCUCUCUCUCUCCCUCUCUAUGUUACGCUCUUUUUGUAGUUUUCAAGGCAUUUUAGAGUUGAACUAAAAUUUAGCCCUGAAUUUAUUUAAACAAUAACUAUUAAAGCAAACAGCCCCACAAAGAUUAAAUAAUACUCAGCUCACUCUCUCUCAAACAAACUGCUCUCUUUAAGCCACUCCAAUUGCCGAUCAAAACAUUGGCCAUGACUAAGCAAGUAGUGGUAAUACAUCACCAAAUGGGAAACAUAUACAAGAGCACGUGAGUUCAACAGUUUGUUUUAUCUGUGGUAUUUUAUAAUAAAAAGAGAACAAGCAAUAAGAGAGUGAUUUAUAGAGAGACAGAGAGAGAGAGAGUAAUAAUCACCCAUACUCAGGGUCUUUCGAAUGACAACAAUACAGGGGUGUCUGUUAGUUUUUGCUCGGCGCUUCGUAAUGUGCAGAUCGUUAUUUACGGUUAACGGAAUAUACGUGAAGUUUUGUUCAAUAUAAAAAGAAGACAAAAAAACAAAUUAAAAAGAAAACUAAAAAACAGCAACAAAUUUUA